UCCCGUAUGUGACCGGUGACCGAUCCCACGUGAAACCCCUUCGACGAGUCGAGUUGUUUGGGAAUGCAGCUCAAAAUGGGUGGUAAAUUUCAUCUAAAGCUAAAUACUGGCCGGAGACCGAUAGCGCACAAGUAGAGUGAUCGAAAGAUGAAAAGCACUUUGGAAAGAGAGUCAAAAAGUACGUGAAAUUGUUGAAAGGGAAGCGCUUGCAACCAGACCUGUCCGUAGGUGAUCAGUCGCCGUUCUCGGUGGUGCACUCGCCUGCGAUCAGGCCAGCAUCGGUUCGGGCGGUCGGAUAAAGGCCUUGGGAAUGUAGCUCCUCUCGAGGAGUCUUAUAGCCCUCGGUGUAAUGCGGCCAGCCCGGACCGAGGACCGCGCUUCGGCUAGGAUGCUGGCGUAAUGGUUGUAAGCGACCCGUCUUGAAACACGGACCAAGGAGUCUAACAUCUAUGCGAGUGUUUGGGUGUCAAACCCAUGCGCGGAAUGAAAGUGAACGGAGGUGAGAACCCUUUAGGGCGCAUCAUCGACCGAUCCAGAAGUCUUCGGAUGGAUUUGAGUAUGAGCAUAGCUGUUGGGACCCGAAAGAUGGUGAACUAUGCCUGAAUAGGGUGAAGCCAGAGGAAACUCUGGUGGAGGCUCGCAGCGGU
rnacentral:rRNA from 1 species